UGGGGAAUAUUGCACAAUGGGCGAAAGCCUGAUGCAGCGACGCCGCGUGAGGGAUGACGGCCUUCGGGUUGUAAACCUCUUUCAGCAGGGAAGAAGCGAAAGUGACGGUACCUGCAGAAGAAGCGCCGGCUAACUACGUGCCAGCAGCCGCGGUAAUACGUAGGGCGCAAGCGUUGUCCGGAAUUAUUGGGCGUAAAGAGCUCGUAGGCGGUUAGUCGCGUCUGCUGUGAAAACUCGAGGCUCAACCUCGGGCUUGCAGUGGGUACGGGCUGACUAGAGUGCGGUAGGGGUGACUGGAAUUCCUGGUGUAGCGGUGGAAUGCGCAGAUAUCAGGAGGAACACCGAUGGCGAAGGCAGGUCACUGGGCCGCAACUGACGCUGAGGAGCGAAAGCAUGGGGAGCGAACAGGAUUAGAUACCCUGGUAGUCCAUGCCGUAACGUUGGGCACUAGGUGUGGGGUCCAUUCCACGGAUUCCGUGCCGCAGC
rnacentral:rRNA from 1 species